UGUACUAAUUAAUGUGUGAAGAUAGCCUGAGCAGUGAGCACGUAAAAAAUAAAGAGACUAAUUAAGCACAUGUUCUGCAUAGUUUUUUUUCGUUAGUAUUAACUUAAUUAAUUAGUGGUGGAAACUGAACAAUUGAAGGCUAAGUAUGCUCUAAUUCUUCGUCUGCAAGCUCAAUUACUGGAGCAAAACAGAAAAUUUAGAGGAAACACUUUUCAACCAGUACAUGAUGUGCUACCGAAUUCGUCCCUGACGGAAAGGGAAAAUGAGCUGGCAGUGGGAUUCAAGAAGUACGAAAAGGGGAAAAAUGGGCUUCCAGUUCUACAACGGAAACAAAAAGGAAAAGAAAAUCUUAGUAAGCCUUGCGAGCAGCUUUUCUGUUGCAUGAUGAAAAAAUGGCAUAGUAAUUAUAUCUGUCCCAUCGAACAAGACUUGGAGGAAUUAUCCAGAAUGUCACUAGGUAUUCGUUCAGUAAGCUACUAUCGAGACUGGUCCAGUAGAGAAAUGUCAGCUGAAUUAGAGAAAGUCUUCAAAGGACUGGAUAUCUGUGCAGGCUACUGCUUGUGUGUGAAGAGUGGAAAGUUCCUGAAACAUGUUCAAAGUAAUGUUCCCGAUGGAAAAUCUAUCAAGGGUCUGUUCCCCAAGAUGGUGUAUAUUAUACCAAUGCAAAUGGAUAUCGUAGGAGUGUUGGAUUGUAAUUAUAAUAAAAACUCGUCAACGUCCUUUUAUGUAGACCCAAGCAAUAUCUCUCAGUCGUUGUAGAAAACGAUCUAACACUUUCUCCUUUUUGUUUUUUCCUCGUACGGACAACUGUGAAUAUUCAAAAGCAUUACUAGAGUUGAUUCUGAAUUUGAUUGACAAGGUACACUCGUUCAUUACAUCUUGUUCGUAUUCAAGAAAAACACGAAAGUUCGUAUCAGCUCUGAAUAUUGGAUGAUUCUCCAGUCUGCUUAAGAAAACUUCAUGCAUAGCUACUGUUUUUUUUUUAUGUGGCCAAAGCCUCCCUAGAAAUUAGAAACAAAUAAAGAUUAGGAAAAGAGA